GGCCUACGGGUGGCUGCAGUGGGGAAUUUUGGACAAUGGGCGCAAGCCUGAUCCAGCAAUGCCGCGUGCGGGAAGAAGGCCUUCGGGUUGUAAACCGCUUUUGGCAGGAACGAAAAGCUCUGGGCGAAUACCCUGGGGUGAUGACGGUACCUGCAGAAUAAGCACCGGCUAACUACGUGCCAGCAGCCGCGGUAAUACGUAGGGUGCGAGCGUUAAUCGGAAUUACUGGGCGUAAAGCGUGCGCAGGCGGGUGUGUAAGACAGGCGUGAAAUCCCCGGGCUCAACCUGGGAAUGGCGCUUGUGACUGCACGGCUGGAGUGCGGCAGAGGGGGAUGGAAUUCCGCGUGUAGCAGUGAAAUGCGUAGAUAUGCGGAGGAACACCGAUGGCGAAGGCAGUCCCCUGGGCCUGCACUGACGCUCAUGCACGAAAGCGUGGGGAGCAAACAGGAUUGGAUACCCGGGUAGUC
rnacentral:rRNA from 1 species